GAUGAACGCUGGCGGCGUGCCUAAUACAUGCAGGUCGAGCGAACAGACGAGGAGCUUGCUCCUCUGACGUUAGCGGAGGACGGGUGAGUAACACGUGGAUAACCUACCUAUAAGACUGGGAUAACUUCGGGAAACCGGAGCUAAUACCGGAUAAUCUAUUGAACCGCAUGGUUCAAUAGUGAAAGACGGUUUUGCUGUCACUUAUAGAUGGAUCCGCGCCGUAUUAGCUAGUUGGUAAGGUAACAGCUUAUCAAGGCAACGAUGCGUAGCCGACGUGCGAGGGUGAACGGCCACACUGAGACUGAGACACGGUCCAGACUCCUACGGGAGGCAGCAGUAGGGAAUCUUCCGCAAUGGGCGAAAGCCUGACGAAGCAACGCCGCGUGAGUGAUGAAGGUCUUCGGAUCGUAAAACUCUGUUAUUAGGGAAGAACAAAUGUGUAAGUAACUAUGCACGUCUUGACGGUACCUAAUCAGAAAGCCACGGCUAACUACGUG
rnacentral:rRNA from 1 species